GUGCUUGCUUCAGCAACACAUAUAGUAAAAUUAGAAGGAUUCAGAGAGGAUUAGCAUGGCCCCUAUGCGAGGAUGACACGCAAAUUUGUGGAGUGAAAAAAAUAUUA